UUUACCUGUGCUAGUUUCAUGCAGUACCCAUAGAGGCCAGAAGAGGGCACUGGGUCCUUUAGAACCGAUCUAUUCAAAUAGAUGGCCACGUCAGGGCUGGAAAUCCAAGGCAAGUCUCUGGAAGAGCAAGGAGUGAGUGCUCUUCACCUCUGAGCCCUCUCUCAGCCCGCUGGCUGUUCCUAAGAGGUCUGUUUACCUGUGUUAUCUUGACACCACCCUUCUGAGCAGGGGAGGCCCAGAGAGAACUUGAGGAGGAGGGAGAUCGCUGACUUCCUCACUUCCCUGAGUGAUGGAAGUAAAGACAUGUUUGGGAUGUGUGUGUGUGUGUGUGUGUGUGUGUGUGUGUGUGUGUGUGUGUGUGUGUGUGUAGGAUAUAUGUCUGACCCUGUGACAGGCAGAUUACCCAGGUUCUGCACUGGAUGUUUGGCAAUGUAUUCUUCUAGAAAUCUCCAACCCCAGAUAGUCCUGAACCGAGCAAAGAAGCAGGUAAAUCUCCAACCCCAGAUAGUCCUGAACCAAGCAAAGAAGCAGACAGCGAAAGCCAGCUGGGGCUGUCCUAAAACUUUCUCCACACGAGCUUGCAUGUCACAGAGGGGACCUGAAUGUCCCCACCAACAGCAGUGACUUUCUUCGAGUGGAGCUUUUUGGCUAGCUAUUAAAGCAGUAAAAACCAGGGCCUUCCAGGGAAAGCGACCCAGGGUACCCGGCCACAGGCAUCUACUAGCCUCAAGGCCUAUUCCAGUUUGUGCGGCUGGUUACCAAGCCGGUCAGUUGUGCUCUAGCUUUGGCCCUUUGAUAGCCAGCCUGGCUUCGUGGUCACCACUAAGGCAGGGGCCUCCCUGAUGUCACUUCAGGGAAGAGUCAGACCCGGGAGACUUUACAAAUCCUGGUUCACUUCUGUCUCCAUGUCCCCAGGAUUGGAUCUGUAGUGUUGACACAGUUCUUACCCUGCUUCCCACAUUCUGGGUUCCCUAACGUACUAGUCUUGGGGGCUGAGGGAGUAGGGGGAGUUUCCUUGUUGGCCAGAGCUGCAGUUAUGUCAGCCUGCAAUAAAGACUUUUUUCCCCCGAUGGUUGUCGCUUUCUCCUCUCUUCCUUCCUGUUGGCCAUUGAGACUGCAUCUGUGACCAUCUCUUUGCCCAGCCCUGGGUCGGGCCAGCUUCCACACUACAGAGAAUCUAACCAUUGGCCCUGCCACCAGAUGCCCAACCUGUGGCCUCGCUGUUCCCUGCAUGAACCUUUCCUUUUGUGUGUCCUGACCCUGAAAUCUCUCUGGGUGAUGCCUGCUUUUCCACCCCAUGGAAAUGACCUGUCUGCCAGUGCACCAUGCUCACAGAAUCCUCUCCUGACCAUGGGAGUAGAAUAGACAGCUGAUGGACUCUGGCAUCCGAACAUGGAUCUUGACUGAACUGGCCGCUGUCCUCUGUUGACACUCUUGACUAGAGCGUGUCUGAUCACGAUAGCUACUGAACUCUCAACACACACUGUCACCUGUGAAACCACCUCUUUCUGUGACAGUGAAUUUGCAGGUGGCUAAAAACUUCUCAGUACUCCUCCUCACCACCCAAAGCGCUCUGGGGACAGGCACCCCAUUCACUCCUGUUUACAAUGUCUGGCACGUGUUUAUUUUUGGAUAAAGCACCACGGCUAGACUGCCCCCAAUUCUAGUGCCAGUCAUUUCUUUUAGUAUUAAAACUCUAGUUAGAAAAGUAAUAUAUGAGGUUGUAGGGCUGGCUCAGCAGUUGAGCACUGGUUGCUCUUCCAGAGGACCGGGGUUCAGUUCCCAGCACCCACAUGGCAGCCCAUGCCCUCUCCUGGAGUUCUUGGUCGCCAGGCAUGCAAGUGGUACACAGACAUACAUGCAGGCAAGACACCCACAGGCAUGAAAUAGAAAAUUUAGGAAAGUAAUACAUAUUUACUGUAGGAAAAUUGGAAACAUACUUUAAAUAUAUGAAAACAAAAACUAGUCCAUUCCUUUGAAAUAGCUGUAGAAAAUGUUUGAUGAAUUUCACCAUGUAUGAAUGCCUCAUGUAUGAAUUCACCAUGUAUAAAUGCCUCAUGUAUGAAUUCACCAUGUAUGAAUUCACAAUGUAUGAAUGCAACAUGACUCAGGUGACAGAGCUGGAUAUUUGUGUUGCUUCUGUGUUGUUUUUGUUUUUAGAUUUAUUUUAUGUGCUCUAGCUGCAUGUACACCUUUAUGCCAGAAGAGGGUAUCAGAUCCCACUAGAGAUAGUUGUGAGCCACCAUGUGGUUGCUGGGAAUUGAACUCAGGACCUCUGGAAGAGCAGCCAGUGCUCUGAACCUCUGAGCCAUCUCUCCAGCCUGUUUUUGUUUUUUGUUUUUUGUUUUUUUUUGUUAGUUUGAUUGGUUGGUUGGUUAUUUAUUUAUUUAAUUUUAUGUGUAUGAAUGUUUUGCCUGCAUGGAUGUAUGUGCACCAUGUGAAUGCCUGUGCCCACAGAGGUCACAAGAGAAUAUUGGAUCCCCUUGGAACUGGAGUUACAGUUAAACUACCAUGUGGUUACUGGGAAUUGAACCCAGGUCCUCUGCAAGAACAGAAAUGCUCUAACCUGUUGAGCCAUCUCUCUAGUCUUUUGGUUCCUUUUAUUGACAAUCUAAAUAGAGCUGCCCUGAACAUCCUUCUGCAUCAAUCCUUGUAUGAGUCUCAGACUUAAGAUUUUCUACCAAAGAUUAUUUCUACCAGAUAAUUCACAGGUUUAGGAGUGGAAUGCUAAGGGCCCUAUGUAGACUAAAGGUUCUUCAGAGCGGUGGCACUAAUCUGCAGGGCUCUGCUGUGGAAGGUAUGAGAAUUCUCCCCACCAGAACACUGUCAUUCAAGACAAAAUAAUAUUCAAAAUGGAAAAGUAAAGCACAAGAGGGCUCCUGUCUUGCUUGUCCUGGGUGCUGGGGCCAUGCACAUGCUGGCAAGUGCCUCACCAUUGAGGCACCGUGUCUUCAGUCAGUCACCAGGAGCCCUUGACAACAGCACUUGACAAUUCUUGACAUCUUGCACUGGAUGAUUCCUAACUGUAUGAUCUGUCCUGAUAUGUGAGAUGGCUCAGCAUCCCUGGCUGACCAUUAGAUGAUGGUGUGAUGGUGGUGCCCUUCCUCCCCAUUUUCAUAACCCCAAAUACCUCCAGAUAGUCCCAAAUGUCCCCUGGCAACAAAACCACCCCUAGUUAGGAACAGCUGUGUCACACUGCAUGACCUCUUUAUUGGCUUUAAGUAAUAGGACCAACUCAAAACAAACAAGAGGAACCUGUGCAAAGAAUCUUAAUGGGCUCUUGGAACCCAGGGGCAGGGAUGCAAUGGGCCUUCUCUUUGUGGAUCAGAUUCUUUCUUUUCUCUUGUUGCAGAUGGGCUUUCUGUACAUGCUUCAGUGCAUGGCGAGAAAGGACACCUCUAGCAGAUCUGAAGCUAAUGCGAAGUCAAGACCACGGUAGAAUCUCUUUCCAAAUCCAGAUUCGUAGGGAGGGACUCUGAUUGACCUGGACUGUGGUGGGUCGUGCAUGGCUGAUCCAGUCAGUGCUGCUGUUCAUUGAGCACAGGACACAGGGUCCUUGGAGUCUUGCUGUAAUUGCUAUGCAGAUGUGCAGUUCCUGGAAAGGAAGCGGGAAGGAAGCAGCUGGACCACUGGUGUAGGAAUCCCCUAGACAGUGUACGUUUGAAGGAGGUUUAGGGAGUUCACGCACAAGUGUGCAGAUAUCCAAGCUGCACAGUGCCUGAGAGAGAGGGCAGGGACCAUCUUCAAGCUUGACUGUUACCUCAGUCCCACUAGACUUCUAGCUAGGCCUAUGGGUGACAAUUACCACGCCACCCAGCCUUUGGUUUAGGGGCCUCUGUGGGGCAGCAUAGCUUACUCAGGCAAGUCCACUCUAGAGAGAGAACUUGAGAGUCUGGCAUUUGCAAGUCCAUAAAGAUGUUUUAUGUAGGAAAUUGCUGCCGUCUGCCUUCAUGGUGCUGGCUGGAGUGUGCAGACACUGAUGUAGCGCAGGCGAACACUACUCCUGUGCACUCAGGGACUCAGUCUCCGCCUCCAGGAAGGGGGCAGUUGGUGCUGGAUCAGGACUGCCCUGAGGCCCAGCCCCUGGGUGGCAGGUUAUUGCCUGAGAGGACCCUGCCCUGAGGGCUGCAGGAUCACCACCAGUUGUUUUGACGCAGUGCUUUCUAAGGACUGCCCACCUCCUGCCAAGCCAUAAAUAUCCCAAAGUCUGAAUAUGAUCUAUUCACCCCUGUGCCCAGAACUUGGGCAGUGUGGUUGUUUUAAGAAUUUAUUGAUUUUUAUUUUACGUGUAUAGGUGUUUUCCCUGCAUGUAUGUCUGUGCAUCACAUAUGUGUCACAUGCCUGGUGCCCAUGGAGGCGGAAGAGGGCAUCGGAUUCUCUGAAACUGGAGUUACAGAUGGUUGUGGUUGCUGGGAAUUGAACCCAGGACCUCCGGGAGAGCAGCCAGUGCUCUUAACCUCUGCACCAUCUUUCCAACCCCACACAUUGUGCAGCAGAGCAAUAAGUGAGCCUCACCUUGUGCCAGGAUGCUGUGCCAUAGAGGCAGCCAUCAUCUCCACCCCAAUGAAGGAAUUAAACUCUAAGAGAAAGGACCCUUCCAAGUCCCCACAGCCUGGUGCUGGGACCUCAUCCGCCCUCUGCAGCAGCUCAUGAGAGUAUUGGAUUGUUGCCAGUUUACAGAUAUGGUACAUGAGACUCAUAUCCGCAAACUACGGCUCUAUGUACUCUGUUCAGGGUGUCCACGGGGACAUGAACAUCAUCCUCUGGCCAAUUCAGGUACCUUGUUGUCAGUGAACUUCCAGGGGAGUUUGUUAGCUGAGCAUUCCUUGGAAUCUAAACCUCCAGACAGAAAUCUCAAACUGACCUGAGGUGUGAGGAGGAAGGCCUGGCAGCUGCGUAGCCGCACCCAAGCGUCCUUCAGGAGCUUAUGACAUAGAUGACCUAGGCCGCUGGGGUACGUGGUCAGUCUCUCCUAACCAAAGUGCACCCGCCCCUCAGCGUGUGGAGCCAAAGCCUUGGGCUCUCCCGUCUUCCUGGAAUUGUAUCUUCAGCUCCAGAACAACAUUUUGUUUUUCCUUUUUUAUUUAUUUUAAUUUUACGUGCAUUGGUGUUUUGUCUGCAUGCAUGUCUGUGUGAGGGCGUCAGAUCUUGGAGUUACAGACAGUUGUGAGCUGUCAUGUGGAUGCUGGGAAUUGAACUCAGGUCCUCUGGAAGAACAGUCAGUGCUCUUAACCGCUGAGCCGUCUCUCCAGCCCCGGAAAUGAUUUUCAAAAGAAAUCGUUUUUGAUCACGAAUGAUGAAGGAACAAUUCCUUGGUUUUCUGCUUCUGUUUUGUUUUUUGUGGUUCUGGGGGUGAAAGCAGGUCUUGUGCCCUCUUGGCAAGUGCUCUGCCACUGCGCACAUCCCUAACCUAUAGUUAUUUAUUGCAAGCAGUAGAAACUAGUUAUGCACUGGGCGGCGGUGGCGCACGCCUUUAAUCCCAGCACUUGGGAGACAGAGGCAGGCGUAGCUCUGUGAGUUCGAGGCCAGCCUGGUCUACAGAGCGAGAUCCGGGACAGGCACCAAAACUACACAGAGAAACCCUGUCUCGAAUGACAAAAACAAAACAAAACACCAGAAUUUAAACAUAAUGGAUGCCAAGUACAUAAAUAAACGAAAUAUACUUACUAUGAAGAAAUUCAUAUGAAUGUCAUCCAGCUUGUAAUAGCAAUAAUGCAAAAAAAAAAUCAGAGCCAUUCGAUAAAGCAAUUUUGACUUUUGACAUGAGCUAACCCAGAGGGUAAAGGCACCUGCCUCCAAGCCGGAAGACCGGAGUUCGAUCUCCACAUAGUAGGAGAGACCAGACUCCCGAAAGUUCCCUCUGACCUUCACACAGGCAUUUACUGUGGCUGUAAACUGUAAAAAAAUGUAAAAUAGAAUUUGUGAUGGAAUUAUUAUGUAAAUAAUAACUGAAAUAUUCAACUUUUUAAAACUGAAUUUGUUCUGUACCAUCUUAUUUAGAAAUAUAUUUUAUACUUUUUUCUUUGAAAAAAAAAAGAAGAAACUGGCUAUGGAAAACCUGGACAUUUCUGGAAGGAUAAGGAGAGGUCAGAGGAUCAAAGAAAAGAGAAAAAGACAAAAGAAAAACACGGUUGGGCACUGGGCUGUGUUGUGGGUCUUCAUGACAGGACACAUCUAACAGUGACUCUGUUUGUCACUCUUCACAGGGAAGGCGAGGAUGGAGACCAGUGGGUUUUGACUGACACUGUGGCUGCGUGGAGAAUGACCAAGGAGGAAGACAGAGAUGGCUUUGCAGAACUCUUUAUGACAUGGUGAUAGUCGCUCAAAGUAAACAACUCUAGUACUAUUUCUCCUCAGGAGUAGCCAUGGGGUAGAAAACAGAAAUCUGCCAGUUGGCCACAACGGGUUGUUGAUUCAUUUACUCGGAAAGACAGAUAGCCCGAGGCAAGGGUCUCACUGAUUCCUCUGCGUUGUGAAUGAUUCAGCCAGAUGGACUGAAUCUGGGAGGGGUAAGAUUCAGGGCUUGGUGAUAGGGACUUUUAGGAAAAAGGGUUUGUGUAUGAGCCUCUUGGAGUGAGCACUGUCGAUAUCCACUGAAUUAUUACUGGUAACCGGGUAGACAAGAUGGCCCACUUUUUGCCUGUCCGUUAAUAUUCAUCACCAGUGACACAGGGUUUGUUUAGUCUGCUGCAAAACAGUGGUUCUGGUGACUCAGCUGAGGGAGCAGCUUGGGCUUAACCACAUGGACUCACUGAGACUUACCUAGAUACUGCCAUUUUUGAAUGUCCAACUUUCUGAAGGAGAAAUCAACCCUGAGCUCAUGAUUUGGUACCACCAGCCAACCAGUGAUUUGAGUUCCCUGACAUGGAAGGGUUUCACAGUCUCCUAGAACAGGCAUUCCCAGUGGAAUAAGGCUACCAUCAACCAGUGAUUUUUAUAGUGAUGGGGGUCUGCCGGCCUUUGGUCUUUGCUUGCUUCUUUGCCGAAGGUUAGAUUCCUGAUGAACUAGGCAGAGAGACCUUGCUGCUACAGAUAGAUCAAGAGUCCAGAGGCAGGUCUGGAGAGAUGGCUCAGCAAUUAAGAGCAUUGGCUGCUCUUCCAGAGGACCUGAGUUCAAUUCCAAGCACCCACAUGGUGACUCACAAGCAGCUAUAACUCCAGCUCCGGGGAUUCGACACCUCCUGGCUUCUGUAAGCACCGGGCACACAUGUGGUUCAUAGACAUACAUGCAGGGAAAACACUCAAAACAUAAAACAUUUUCUUAAAAGAGCCCAGAGACAACCAGUGAGAUGGUAUGUGAGUCGGGAGCAGUGACCAGAGUGAGCGAAAAGCCAUUAGCUCCGUUCAUGCUUGGCAUGGGCUCAGUGUUGCAGUAUGGUGAGGUGUGUUGGGGGCAGUAUGUGUACUGCGUGCUAGGGAGGGAAGAGAGUGGAGGGCAGUUUCUGUUCUCUCAUCCAGUCAGGAUCUAGCAUGGAUUCUGCCACAGUAGCUCAUACACUGAGUGGUAAAAACAAUAAAUAAAUAAAAGAGUGAAUUAAUCUAGAUGUCCUUUGACCUGCGGUGAUUGUCUAGCCUGUCCCCAGCCAGGAGGGACGUCCUUUGUUAGCAUUCCCCAGUUAGAAGCCGCCUUUGCUGAAAUCUGUCCGGGCUUACAUUCGGAGGCAUCCUGCUCUCUGUGCACUAACCGCACGUGAGCUCAAACCUGUCACACGCACGGACCAAUGGUGACGAUGAGCUUCGAGGACUUGCUCAAGGUCGCACAAUUAGUAAAUAACAGAGCCAGGAACCAAGGCAAAAAGCCUUGGACUCUGCAGCUUGAGUGCUGUCUGCACUGCUCGAGUACAUAUUCAAACUGCAGCUGUCACCUCCCAGGAGCCCCGUGUUAGCUAGUGUGUCUGUUAGAUAAAGUCUCCCCUGGGCUGAAGGAUGGCUUGGUGGGUGAAGGCCCUUGUCACCAGGCUUGAUGACCUGAGUUCAGUGCCGGCAUCUGGAUGAUGGAAAGAGAGAAGUGACUCCAGCAAGUUGUCCUCUGACCUCCGUACAUCCAUGCCAGGUGUGUGCACAUGCACAUGCACAUGCACAAUAAAUGUGAUGAAAAUUUUAGAGAGAAAGCAUUCCCAUUUUGUUCAGUGGAAACACACCUCCCUAUUUAAUUCACACGUGCGGUUCUAAGUGUUAGCUGAGAACUUUCCUCCUUUCUUCUCCACGGCUUUCUGGGUCUCAGAGGCCACCAUACAUCCUGGUCCUACCUAGCCCCACCCCAUACCGAAGGAGCUCUAAUUCUCCAGACUGUGACUCUCAGGUCAAGCAAGGUGAAGACUAGCCAGUGCAGUUUCAGGCUUAUUAUUUGCUGUCUAGACACUGCAGUCAUUAAUCCCAUUUCACCUCACAUUAGGUUUUUUGGCAAGAGAAAUUCUGUCACCGGUCUGGUCUUCUUGACUGAAUCACUGAAGAGCAUGGCUCAAACAGGAAGUCCUAGGAGAGGGCAAGACCUGCAGGCUUCCCUGGGUCACCUGCGAUUCUGGAGCCGGUAUCUAAGUACCAGGGCGAGAGGAAAGGGGAGUGGGCCGCACACAACCGAGUGCUGCGCUGGUGUGGGGUACUUGGCGACUGUCUUUUCUGAGGAGUCCGCAGGUGCUUGUAUGCAGAUGCGCACACGGCGGAGCAGGAAAAGCCAGAGCAGCGGCUGAGCCUCAUCUGCCCACAUCUUUCCAGUCUCACUUGAAAGCCAAAGUCCAGACUGAAUGGAGCUUUGCACUGCAUUGUGUUCUCCACAUUCGUUUGCCCCACAGGGAGAUAAAGAUGGCUGUUCACACCUGUGCGGAAACCCAGACAUCCAGAGGGCAGCCUGUGGCAGGACUUGGAGCAGUCUCCGAGCCCUAGGGCCCAGCACCGCUGAACAGGUCUUGUCCAGCCUCUGACUGCCGGCUGGUGGCUUCAGUUCUGUAACGCAUGUCUCCCAUGGAGCCUAUGAUAAUUGCCUUUGAUUUCCUCCUAAUUGAGAUUGCAUGUGGCUCCCGAUGGUUACUCCAUUGACCUUCUGGAGUCCUCCAAUGGGGGGUUCCGGGGGAACCCUAGUGUGUGCAGCAGGCAGAGGAAGGCCGAGUAGGCUUCAGCUCUCCUCCUCUCUGGCAUUUGCUCAUCUUUUCCGUCCUGGAUGCUGUCUAGUCUCCAGGGUGGCCAAUGAGAGAGGGAGUCUGAGGAGCCUGACCCCUCGGAGAACUUUAGAGCCCCUGCCCCCGAGGGGGUGCUUUUUCUCUUAUUAUGUGCGUUUGAGUUUGUAAGCAUCAGAGCUCAGUAGCUCGGUGCUUUGCCUGGACCUGGGGAGCAGCUUUGCCAGCAGUAAAGAAGUCUGUGCAUUACCAGGAAGAGGCCUAGAUUUGGGUCUCCGCUGUGUGACCUUGAGUAUAUUAUCCAAUGUCUCUGAGACUGGGGUUUCCUAUCUAUCUGUUAUCUGGGGAGAGAAAUGCUGCCUUGCCCACCUGACAGUAUUGAGCUGUGGACGGGGAAAGGGUCUGUAAUGUUAGGUGCUGGGAUGAUGAAGGUGCUAAGGCUGGGCAUUAGCAUCAGUACUCUGGUUGUGCCAGCAGGUGUGGGGUGGUGGCUUCCCUUCUCACUCUGGCUUAUUGUGAGGUUUUUUUUUUUAAAGAUUUAUUUAUUAUGUAUACAGUAUUCUGCCUACAUGCAUGCUUGCAGGCCAGAAGAGGGCACCAGAUCUCAUUACAGAUGGUUGUGAGCCACCAUGUGGUUGCUGGGAAUUGAACUCAGGACCUCUGGAAGAACAACUAACCGCUGAGCCAUCUCUCCAGCCCCCUUAUUGUGAAUUUUAAGAAUGAUUGUGAGUUUAUGGUGGGAGUCAGGGUUGCUUACAGAGCCAUGGUGGUGAGGUUAUUCCCCAGUAGGAAGGCUCAUGAGUCGGGGCAUUAAUACUCUGAAUUCCUUAGUGCCAGGCACACCGACUUUAGGGAGUCAGGUGGAAUUGGGAGCAGAAUUCAGCUCUGGCCAGGCCAGGUGGGCAGAACUGUGCACGGCAGUCUCCAGGCCGGACCCUGUGGCAUCAAAUACACAGCCGCUCUAAGGCUUGCAGCCAUCUCCCUCCCAGCACAGUGAAGACUGCUGUGCCCUGCUGAGUUUGGACUUGGGGGCCCUGCAGCCAGGAGCAGGGAAGACUUGGAUUCUCAAACCUGGUGCAGUCUAUAGGAGCCCUGGGCGGCAGGGUUUCCUGCCAAACUCAGGAGGAUUUCUGUUCCGACGUCUCUGCCUGAACGAUCCCAGGUUUUCUCCCUGGCAUCAAGAGGAUGGUAAAGGCCGUCAGAGCCUGGGGUUUCCACCAGAGCAGGGAAGCAUCUUAGUCCCCUGUUCCACACUGCCCCUUGUGAGCUGUGGCUUGGGGACAGAUUUCACCACUUGCCACAACGAAGGAGGUACCAGAGGCCACAGAGGCCAUAGCUCUGGAAACAUUGGACUCUGGUCCACACUCUGGGCCUGAGACAGGGUAAGUCACAAACACUUUCUGUGUCUCAGGUUCUCCGUCCACAGAAUGAGGUUCAUGCUCUCCACCUCAGCACAGUGGAGUUUCAGGCAGUGAGACUGCCCUGGGCAGCACUGCCGUGGUUGGCUCGUGACGUCAUACAUUUGCCCAAACCCAAGCAAGGCACAGAAGCAUUGAGAGUGAGCGCUGGGUGACAGUGAUGUGUCCCUGAAGGCUGUAUAGUCGGCUCACCCUGAGGCUGGACACUGAGGAGGACACGACAUGGAGGGGGUGCUAUGUGGGAAUUCUGUACCUUCUGCUCAAUUUUCCCGUCAGCCUAAAAGAUUUAAAAAGAAGAAAAAAAGAAAGUCGUGGCUGGAGAUAAGGCUUGGCGGUUAUGAGUAAAUGUUCUUGCGGAGGAUCAGGGUUCAGUUCCUAGCACUCACCGGGAGGCUUACAAACCACCUGUAAUUCCAGUUCCAGGGACCAACGCUCUCUUCUGGUCUCUUCAGCACUGGGUAUGCGAACAGUACACAAACAUACAUACAGGCAAAACACUCAUAUACAUAAAAUAAAUAAAUAAGUCAAGGAAUCAGCAAACACCAAAACAAAAAAGUCAUCAACAAUGAUGACUAAUAAUUAUUACACUUAAGACUUGAAUAUUCGGCGGGUUUGUAUGUGUGUGCACGCACACAUGUGGAGGUCAGAGAACACGGAGUUAGGACUCACCUUGGGUCCUGGGACUUGAACUCACGCCAUCAGGUUUGGUGGCCAGCACCUUUACCAGCUGAGACAUUUUACAGGCCUCGAUCUUUCCUCUUUCAUCUCCGUAUCAAGUCUUGGACCAUGCAUCACUGUGGCAAGAUCAGGAGGAUGGGAUCCCACCUGUCUCCUGACGCCUCCCGCCUGCCUGCUGAGCACAGGAGUGGGUGGCCAUGCUCUUAAGGGUUUGUUUUAUUCAUUGCCCUCAAGGCCUUCAUUUUCUUUAUUCCUCCCGAGCCUGCUGGAAGGCAUGAUACCUCAGGAGCUGAGUAACGGCAGGAGAUUCCUCCAGAAGUGUGUGUGUGUGUGUGUGUGUGUGUGUGUGUGUGUGUGUGUGUGUGUGGUGAGGGGUUCUCUGAAGAGAGUCAGAGAAGGGGCUGGAACAGCAGCUGAGGUCCUGGGUUGUCAUUUCCAGCCCCGAGGUCUGGGGAGCCCUUGGCUCUCAACUAUUUUUUUAAAAUACAAAGCAGGCUACAGCCAGGGGAAUCCUUCCUGUGUGGUGUGGACGGGAUGUAAAAUGGGGCAGCCCCUGUGGAAAACAGAAUGGCCGCUCUUUCCACGAUUAAAAACGUUUAACAAAGUGAUCUAGCAAUCCUGCCCCUGAGUGUUCACCCUCUGGAACUGAAAGCAGUCGGGAGGAGCCAGGAGCCAGGAGGUGAAAGCAGUCCUGUACACUGAUGGACAGUGGAUAAAUAUGACACCACGUGACUGCACAAGGGGAUCAUGAUCAGCCCGGAAAAGGAGGACAGUUCUGAGGCUUGCCACAGCACACGUGAACCCUGAGGACAUUGUGCUAAGUGAAAUAAGCCAGCCACAAAAGGAACAAUACGAUUUGAGUCCAUCUGCAAGGGAGGUACCCGGAAUAGCCAGAUCUGUAAUGACAGGAGGUAGAAUGGCUGUGACUCCGGCCGCAGGAGACAGCAAGGAGCUGUUUUGUGACCCAGUUUGAGGUUUUAAGAUGAAAGAUGAUCGGGAAAGUGGUUUGUCGCGUGCACAUUAGCACUGGCAAGGAUUUUUGACAUCAUAGGCUAGGUCAAGCGGAGGCUGGGCUAGGAGGAAAGUGUAGGCAAGAGGCUUCAGAUUGUAAGGCAGCUGGUUCACUGUAAAUAUUUGCAUACACUUACAGAGGGUUUGGAAUAUAUAUAUUUUAUGUAGCCCAGGAUGGCCAGGAACUCCUGAUCUUCCUGGCUUAGUCUCCUGGGUGCUGGGAUUACAGGUGUGUACCACCACAAGUGGCUAGAUGAUGCGCGCGCGCGCGCGUGUGUGUGUGUGUGUGUGUGUGUGUGUGUGUGUGUGUGUGUGUAGCCACAAUUUAAAAUAAAAUAAAGUAGCUGGGAGUAGAGACAUGCACCUUUAAUCCCAGCACUUGGGAAGCAGAGGCAGAUGGAUCUCUGAGUUUGAGGCCAGCCUGGUCUACCCAGUGAGUUCCAGGACAGCCAGAGCUACACAGAGAAACCCUGUCUC